rnacentral:rRNA from 1 species
AGGCAGCAGUGGGGAAUCUUAGACAAUGGGCGCAAGCCUGAUCUAGCCAUGCCGCGUGAGCGAUGAAGGCCUUAGGGUUGUAAAGCUCUUUCAGUGGGGAAGAUAAUGACUGUACCCACAGAAGAAGCCCCGGCUAACUCC